AGUGAACGCUGGCGGCGUGCCUAAUACAUGCAAGUCGAACGAGUGGCGCACGGGUGAGUAAUAUAUAUUAAUCUGCCUGGUAGUGGGGGAUAACGUCCGGAAACGGGCGCUAAUACCGCAUACUAUCAGAUGAGCCUAGGUCGGAUUAGCUAGUUGGUGGGGUAAAGGCCUACCAAGGCGACGAUCCGUAACUGGUCUGAGAGGAUGAUCAGUCACACUGGAACUGAGACACGGUCCAGACUCCUACGGGAGGCAGCAGUGGGGAAUAUUGGACAAUGGGCGAAAGCCUGAUCCAGCCAUGCCGCGUGUGUGAAGAAGGUCUUCGGAUUGUAAAGCACUUUAAGUUGGGAGGCGUUACCAACAGAAUAAGCACCGGCUAACUUCGUGCCAGCCGCCGCGGUAAUAC
rnacentral:rRNA from 1 species